UACGUAGGGGGCGAGCGUUGUCCGGAGUUACUGGGCGUAAAGCGCACGCAGGCGGUCUGCUAAGUUUGGAGUGACAGUUGGUGGCUUAACUGCCAAAGUGCUUCGAAAACUGACAGACUUGAGGGCUUCAGAGGGACACGGAAUUCCGGGUGGAGUGGUGAAAUGCGUAGAGAUCCGGAGGAACACCAAAGGCGAAGGCAGUGUCCUGGGGAGUACCUGACGCUCGAGGUGCGAAAGCCAGGGGAGCGAACGGG
rnacentral:rRNA from 1 species